rnacentral:rRNA from 1 species
CAUGCAAGUCGAGGGGCAGCAUGGUCUUAGCUUGCUAAGACUGAUGGCGACCGGCGCACGGGUGAGUAACACGUAUCCAACCUGCCGUCUACUCUUGGACAGCCUUCUGAAAGGAAGAUUAAUACAAGAUGGCAUCAUGAGUCCGCAUGUUCACAUGAUUAAAGGUAUUCCGGUAGACGAUGGGGAUGCGUUCCAUUAGAUAGUAGGCGGGGUAACGGCCCACCUAGUCUUCGAUGGAUAGGGGUUCUGAGAGGAAGGUCCCCCACAUUGGAACUGAGACACGGUCCAAACUCCUACGGGAGGCAGCAGUGAGGAAUAUUGGUCAAUGGGCGAGAGCCUGAACCAGCCAAGUAGCGUGAAGGAUGACUGCCCUAUGGGUUGUAAACUUCUUUUAUAAAGGAAUAAAGUCGGGUAUGUAUACCCGUUUGCAUGUACUUUAUGAAUAAGGAUCGGCUAACUCCGUGCCAGCAGCCGCGGUAAUACGGAGGAUCCGAGCGUUAUCCGGAUUUAUUGGGUUUAAAGGGAGCGUAGAUGGAUGUUUAAGUCAGUUGUGAAAGUUUGCGGCUCAACCGUAAAAUUGCAGUUGAUACUGGAUAUCUUGAGUGCAGUUGAGGCAGGCGGAAUUCGUGGUGUAGCGGUGAAAUGCUUAGAUAUCACGAAGAACUCCGAUUGCGAAGGCAGCCUGCUAAGCUGCAACUGACAUUGAGGCUCGAAAGUGUGGGUA